UGCCAGACUCCUACGGGAGGCAGCAGUGGGGGAUAUUGCACAAUGGGGGAAACCCUGAUGCAGCGACGCCGCGUGAGUGAAGAAGUAUUUCGGUAUGUAAAGCUCUAUCAGCAGGGAAGAAGAUGACAGUACCUGAGUAAGAAGCCCCGGCUAACUACGUGCCAGCAGCCGCGGUAAUACGUAGGGGGCAAGCGUUAUCCGGAUUUACUGGGUGUAAAGGGAGCGUAGACGGCAUGGCAAGUCAGAUGUGAAAGCCCGGGGCUCAACCCCGGGACUGCAUUUGAAACUGUCAGGCUGGAGUGCAGGAGAGGUAAGUGGAAUUCCUAGUGUAGCGGUGAAAUGCGUAGAUAUUAGGAGGAACACCAGUGGCGAAGGCGGCUUACUGGACUGUAACUGACGUUGAGGCUCGAAAGCGUGGGGAGCAAACAGGAUUAGAUACCCCCGUA
rnacentral:rRNA from 1 species